ACGGAAGGCAGCAGUGAGGAAUAUUGGUCAAUGGGCGGAAGCCUGAACCAGCCAAGUCGCGUGAGGGAAGACGGCCCUACGGGUUGUAAACCUCUUCUGCGCGGGGGUAAAGUCGGGGACGGGUCCCCGAUUGCAAGUACCGCGCGAAAAAGGAUCGGCUAACUCCGUGCCAGCAGCCGCGGUAAUACGGAGGAUCCGAGUGUUAUCCGGAUUUAUUGGGUUUAAAGGGUGCGCAGGCGGGAUGUCAAGUCAGUGGUGAAAUGGUGCGGCUCAACCGUAGCAUUGCCGUUGAAACUGGCGUCCUUGAGUGCGAAUGAGGUACGCGGAACGUGUCAUGUAGCGGUGAAAUGCAUAGAUAUGACACAGAACACCGAUUGCGAAGGCAUCUCACGAAUCCGUCAUUGACGCUGAGGCACGAAAGCGUGGGGAUCAAACAGGAUUAGAUACCCUGGUA
rnacentral:rRNA from 1 species